GAUGAACGCUAGCGGCAGGCCUAAUACAUGCAAGUCGAGGGGUAGAGAGAGCUUGCUCUCUUGAGACCGGCGCACGGGUGCGUAACGCGUAUGCAACCUACCUUCACCUGGGGGAUAGCCCGGAGAAAUCCGGAUUAAUACCGCAUAAAAUCACAGUACCGCAUGGUACAAUGAUCAAACAUUCAUGGGGAGAAGAUGGG
rnacentral:rRNA from 1 species